GCCAGCGUUGCUCGGAAUUACUGGGCGUAAAGGGUUCGUAGGCGGUGCGGUAUGUCGGGUGUGAAAUCUCUGGGCUUAACUCAGAGGCUGCUUCCGAAACUGCCGUGCUCGAGUGCGGGAGAGGCGAGUGGGAUUACAGGUGUAGCGGUGAAAUGCGUAGAUAUCUGUAGGAACACCCGUGGCGAAGGCGGCUCGCUGGACCGCAACUGACGCUGAGGAACGAAAGCUAGGGGAGCAAACAGG
rnacentral:rRNA from 1 species